rnacentral:rRNA from 1 species
CAAGUCGAGGGGCAGCAUGGGGAGUAGCAAUACUCUCUGAUGGCGACCGGCCCUAGGGUGCGUAACGCGUGAGCAACUUGCCCUCAUCAGGGGAAUAAUCGCUGGAAACGGCGUCUAAUGCCCCAUGGUGAUGUCCUCAGGCAUCUGAGGUCAUCUAAAGAUCCGUCGGAUGGGGAUAGGCUCGCGUGACAUUAGCUAGACGGCGGGGUAACGGCCCACCGUGGCGACGAUGUCUAGGGGUUCUGAGAGGAAGGUCCCCCACACUGGAACUGAGACACGGUCCAGACUCCUACGGGAGGCAGCAGUGAGGAAUAUUGGUCAAUGGCCGGAAGGCUGAACCAGCCAUGCCGCGUGAAGGUCAGUGCCCUAUGGGCGUUAAACUUCUUUUGUGCGGGAGCAAUAAUGGUCACGUGUGGCCAGACGAGAGUACCGUACGAAUAAGCAUCGGCUAACUCCGUGCCAGCAGCCGCGGUAAUACGGGGGAUGCAAGCGUUAUCCGGAUUUAUUGGGUUUAAAGGGUGCGUAGGCUGUGAGGUAAGUCAGCGGUGAAAUGCCCCCGCUCAACGGGGUGAAGUGCCAUUGAUACUGCCUUGCUGGAAUGCGGAUGCCGUGGGAGGAAUGUGUGGUGUAGCGGUGAAAUGCAUAGAUAUCACACAGAACACCGAUUGCGAAGGCAUCUCACGAAUCCGCGAUUGACGCUGAUGCACGAAAGCGUGGGUAUCAAACAGGAUUAGAUACCCUGGUAGUCCACGCUGUAAACGAUGAUGACUAACCGUCGGCGAUACACAGUCGGUGGCCAAGCGAAAGCGAUAAGUCAUCCACCUGGGGAGUACGGCCGCAAGGCUGAAACUCAAAGGAAUUGACGGGGGCC